GAUGAACGCUGGCGGCGUGCCUAAUACAUGCAAGUCGAGCGAACGGACGAGAAGCUUGCUUCUCUGAUGUUAGCGGCGGACGGGUGAGUAACACGUGGAUAACCUACCUAUAAGACUGGGAUAACUUCGGGAAACCGGAGCUAAUACCGGAUAAUAUUUUGAACCGCAUGGUUCAAAAGUGAAAGACGGUCUUGCUGUCACUUAUAGAUGGAUCCGCGCUGCAUUAGCUAGUUGGUAAGGUAACGGCUUACCAAGGCAACGAUGCAUAGCCGACCUGAGAGGGUGAUCGGCCACACUGGAACUGAGACACGGUCCAGACUCCUACGGGAGGCAGCAGUAGGGAAUCUUCCGCAAUGGGCGAAAGCCUGACGGAGCAACGCCGCGUGAGUGAUGAAGGUCUUCGGAUCGUAAAACUCUGUUAUUAGGGAAGAACAUAUGUGUAAGGAACUGUACACAUCUUGACGGUACCUAAUCAGAAAGCCACGGCUAACUACGUG
rnacentral:rRNA from 1 species